CCCAACGUUCUGCUGAUGGGCUUCAAGAAAGAUUGGCAGAGUGACACACCUCAGGCUGCAGACAACUACAUAGGAAUACUGCAUGAUGCCUUCGACCUGCAAUACGGAGUGUGUAUCCUGAGAUUGAGGGAGGGGUUGGAUGUCUCUCACACAGCUCAGUCACAUAUUAAUCCAGGCUUUGAUGAAGGACACGAGAGUAUACCUGUCCCUUCCCGGAUUCAGACAAGAACUUCAUGUU